CCUACGGGGCGCAGCAGUGAGGAAUAUUGGCCAAUGGCCGAGAGGCUGAACCAGCCAAGUCGCGUGAGGGAUGACGGCCCUACGGGUUGUAAACCUCUUUAGGCGGGGAGCAAUGCCGGGCACGUGUGCCCGGAGGGAGAGUACCCGCAGAAUAAGCAUCGGCUAACUCCGUGCCAGCAGCCGCGGUAAUACGGAGGAUGCGAGCGUUAUCCGGAUUUAUUGGGUUUAAAGGGUGCGUAGGCGGAUUUUUAAGUCAGCGGUAAAAUGUCCGGGCUCAACCCGGGCCGGCCGUUGAAACUGGGGCU
rnacentral:rRNA from 1 species